AAGGAAUACCUGAUUAUUCCGUUUUCUAUAAAACGAACCAAAUUUCAAACAUUCAAAUCACGACCGCUUUUACGAACUCCUCAAUCAUAACAUAUGAAACGUUAUUUCUUGGAACAAGCAAAAUUGGCGGCUGUUUCAAGUUCUUGUCGGUUGCGAAAACAAAUCAAAAAUUCUUAAUACUAUAAAAUAUUUUUAACAAGUUCCAGAAUUAAUUGAAAAAAGUUGAACAUAUAUUCGAACUGAAGUCAUGAAACACGUAUCAAGUAUCACGAAUCACGAAUCAUGAAUCACGAAACACGAAUUUUUUGGAGGAAGAUACAUACCAGCCUUAAAACCAAAUCCAAUUGAAAAAACACAAGCCGCUAAAAAAACGAUCCGACCACCGACUCGUCUCUUGCAAAAGUAACCAAUGAACAAGAAAACUUGUGUCGUUCUUUCAAAAUUAAUAUAAAUACAUUUGGCAGCCCAUACUCAAAUUUGCGUGAUGUAACUAUAUUAAUUUGGUUUAGACUUUUUGGACACAAAUGAAUUUCACAAGGGGAUAAAUCGGAUUAGCACACUAUUUAAUAGUUAUUUCUUGGAACAAGCAAAAUUGGCGGCUGUUUCAAGUUCUUGUCGGUUGCGAAAACAAAUCAAAAAUUCUUAAUACUAUAAAAUAUUUUUAACAAGUUCCAGAAUUAAUUGAAAAAAGUUGAACAUAUAUUCGAACUGAAGUCAUGAAACACGUAUCAAGUAUCACGAAUCACGAAUCAUGAAUCACGAAACACGAAUUUUUUGGAGGAAGAUACAUACCAGCCUUAAAACCAAAUCCAAUUGAAAAAACACAAGCCGCUAAAAAAACGAUCCGACCACCGACUCGUCUCUUGCAAAAGUAACCAAUGAACAAGAAAACUUGUGUCGUUCUUUCAAAAUUAAUAUAAAUACAUUUGGCAGCCCAUACUCAAAUUUGCGUGAUGUAACUAUAUUAAUUUGGUUUAGACUUUUUGGACACAAAUGAAUUUCACAAGGGGAUAAAUCGGAUUAGCACACUAUUUAAUAGUUAUUUCUUGGAACAAGCAAAAUUGGCGGCUGUUUCAAGUUCUUGUCGGUUGCGAAAACAAAUCAAAAAUUCUUAAUACUAUAAAAUAUUUUUAACAAGUUCCAGAAUUAAUUGAAAAAAGUUGAACAUAUAUUCGAACUGAAGUCAUGAAACACGUAUCAAGUAUCACGAAUCACGAAUCAUGAAUCACGAAACACGAAUUUUUUGGAGGAAGAUACAUACCAGCCUUAAAACCAAAUCCAA